UAUACAAUGUAAUACCCUGGAGUUCAGUACGGCAGAGCAGGACAAGGGAACGGAGGGAGAAGAUCAGACGGAUGAACAGGGGCCAGGAGGAAAUGUAUGAGAGCGAUGGCUGGGGAUCAGUGGAGGAGGUCAGGACAAGAGGACGGAGGGAGAAGAUCAGAUGGAUGAACGAGAACCAGGAGGAAAUGUAUGAGAGCGAUGGCUGAGGAUCAGUGGAGGAGGUCAGGACAAGAGGACGGAGGGAGAAGAUCAGAUGGAUGAACAGGGGCCAGGAGGAAAUGUAUGAGGGCGAUGGUUCAGUACGGCAGAGCAGGACAAGAGGACGGAGGGAGAAGAUCAGACGGAUGAACAAGAGCCAGGAGGAAAUGUAUGAGAGCGAUGGAAGAGGUAAUAGCGUGGAGAUCAGUGCAGUAGGAGAGGACAAGAGGGUGCAGGCAGAAGAUGAGAUGGAUGGACAGACAGCAGGAGGAAAUGUAUGAGGGCGAUGGGCCAGUUGACAAUCAAUGAAGAAAUGAAUACAAACUCACUUUGGAUAUGAAGCCAAGGUCUCCUAUUGAAUGUUCAUGAAGUGAUUCUUUGAAUUGUUUUGUAACAAAUCCAAAAAUAUGGCUCAGCUAUAUGAAAAAGUAAGAAAAAGUUUACAAGAUUUGCUAAGAUAUUAGUGGGAAAAAUUCAUAGACAUACGGUCACGAUUCUGAAUCUGUUCUAUAAAAUGCAAUAGCCUGGACGCCAGUAUAGCAGGGCAGAACAAGAGGAUGGAGGGAGAAGGUCUGUGGAUACACAGGGAUUAGAAGGAAAUGCAUGUGAGCGAUGGCUCAGGAUCAGUGGAGGAGAUCAGGACAAGAGGACGGAGGGAGAAGAUCAGAUGGAUGAACAGGGGCCAGGAGGAAAUGUAUGAGAGUGACGGAAGAGGUAAUAGCGUGGAGAUCAGUGCAGUAGGAGAGGACAAGAGGGUGCAGGCAGAAGAUGAGAUGGAUGGACAGACAGCAGGAGGAAAUGUAUGAGGGCGAUGGGCCAGUUGACAAUCAAUGAAGAAAUGAAUACAAACUCACUUUGGAUAUGAAGCCAAGGUCUCCUAUUGAAUGUUCAUGAAGUGAUUCUUUGAAUUGUUUUGUAACAAAUCCAAAAAUAUGGCUCAGCUAUAUGAAAAAGUAAGAAAAAGUUUACAAGAUUUGCUAAGAUAUUAGUGGGAAAAAUUCAUAGACAUACGGUCACGAUUCUGAAUCUGUUCUAUAAAAUGCAAUAGCCUGGACGCCAGUAUAGCAGGGCAGAACAAGAGGAUGGAGGGAGAAGGUCUGUGGAUACACAGGGAUUAGAAGGAAAUGCAUGUGAGCGAUGGCUCAGGAUCAGUGGAGGAGAUCAGGACAAGAGGACGGAGGGAGAAGAUCAGAUGGAUGAACAGGGGCCAGGAGGAAAUGUAUGAGAGUGACGGAAGAGGUAAUAGCGUGGAGAUCAGUGCAGUAGGAGAGGACAAGAGGGUGCAGGCAGAAGAUGAGAUGGAUGGACAGACAGCAGGAGGAAAUGUAUGAGGGCGAUGGGCCAGUUGACAAUCAAUGAAGAAAUGAAUACAAACUCACUUUGGAUAUGAAGCCAAGGUCUCCUAUUGAAUGUUCAUGAAGUGAUUCUUUGAAUUGUUUUGUAACAAAUCCAAAAAUAUGGCUCAGCUAUAUGAAAAAGUAAGAAAAAGUUUACAAGAUUUGCUAAGAUAUUAGUGGGAAAAAUUCAUAGACAUACGGUCACGAUUCUGAAUCUGUUCUAUAAAAUGCAAUAGCCUGGACGCCAGUAUAGCAGGGCAGAACAAGAGGAUGGAGGGAGAAGGUCUGUGGAUACACAGGGAUUAGAAGGAAAUGCAUGUGAGCGAUGGGUGAGUUUACCAUCUUGAGUGAUGGGACAUUUUGUUACUGUAUACAAAUGUACAAACACAUCUAUCCUGUCUUUGAAGAGCUACUGCUCACUCUACACAAUUUUACCAAACAACUUGUAGAAAAACAUUUGAUCCAUAAGCUUACAGAGUUUAAUUGUUCUGACAACACAUCUGUUAAAAUGGUUAAUAGAAUUUCGCCUAUGAACUUUUAAGCCAGUUUACAAUCAAUUAAUAAAUGAAUACAAACUUACUUUGGUUGUGAAGACAAGAUCUUCUAUUGGAUGUCCGUGAAAUGAUUGGUUAAAUUGCUGUG